rnacentral:rRNA from 1 species
CGGAGAUUCAGCAAUGGAUCUUAGUGGCGAACGGGUGAGUAACGCGUAGGCAAUCUGCCUUCUAGAUGGGGACAACAUCCCGAAAGGGGUGCUAAUACCGAAUGUUGUACCGUUUCCGCAUGGAGAUGAUACUAAAGGUGGCCUCUGAAUAUGCUACCGCUAGAAGAUGAGCCUGCGUCUGAUUAGCUAGUUGGAGGGGUAACGGCCCACCAAGGCUUCGAUCAGUAGCCGGUCUGAGAGGAUGAACGGCCACACUGGGACUGAGACACGGCCCAGACUCCUACGGGAGGCAGCAGUGGGGAAUCUUCCGCAAUGGACGAAAGUCUGACGGAGCAACGCCGCGUGAGUGAAGAAGGUUUUCGGAUCGUAAAGCUCUUUCGUUAGGGACGAACGUGCUCUUUGUGAAUAAUGAGGAGUAAUGACGGUACCUAAAUAAGAAGCCACGGCUAACUACGUGCCAGCAGCCGCGGUAAUACGUAGGUGGCAAGCGUUGUCCGGAAUUAUUGGGCGUAAAGCGCGCGCAGGCGGGAUAUCAAGUCUGUCUU